rnacentral:lncRNA from 1 species
UGGGUACACUAAUACAAGGAUAUGGGUGCUCAUUAAAGAAUGAGUUUACUGAAUUGACCUAUGAGAGAAUCUCAGAUGGAGUUUUAUUUACAUGUCAAUUGAUAAUUCUUUAGUAGGAGUUAUGUAUGUGAUCCUUAGACCUGAGGUCACCAUGGUACCUUAUGUACUUGGAUUCAUAUUUUGGUUCACUACCUAACUU